AGAAAAAAACCAAAAAGAUAUGCAACUGUACUCUCAAAGUCCCUUACAACUAAUGUUUUGCCCCUUCCCAAACAGAGCCCAGAUUCUCCUUCUCUGAAUCAUAUCUCCUCCAAACUCCUCCCUUUUCCAUUCAUUUUCUUCUAUCUUCAGAGCAAGUAAAAGGAUACUUUUCCUGGGCUAGAGAAGGAAGGAGUUCAUUGAAUUUGAAAUUUGGUUUUAAAAGAAACUUUCUGAUUGAGAUAUCCAACUAAUAGCACAGUGCCGCACAGGGUAGCAAGCUGUGAGGAAAUGCAUCUGAAAUUGGGAUUGGGAUUCUGUGAAAGGCAACUGCAGGAUGGUUGCGAGUAACGGCAGUGACCGCCAAGGCUUUAUGCAGCACAUCGUACCCACACACUCAUGGCUACGUAUACACACACAUCAAAGUGGACGCUCAAGACACACUAUCUUGCUCUCUCUCUCUCUCUCUCUCUCUCUCUCACACACACACACACACACACACACAGCACACUCUG
rnacentral:lncRNA from 1 species